rnacentral:tRNA from 1 species
CGGCGUGGCUCAAUGGCAGAGCAACUGAUUUGUAAUCAGUAGGUUGCUGGUUCGACUCCGGCCGCCGG